rnacentral:lncRNA from 1 species
AGAAAGCAAGAGAGUCAGAUCUCCUGGGUGAUAGGCCAGAGAUAUGUCACAAUCCCUUCUGUUGACAGGUCCCAAACAAGGAGUUACAUCACCUGGGUGCUUGGCUCAGUGAUAUGUCACAAUGCCCAGUGUAGGCAGGGACAGGCAGGAGAGUCACAUUACCUGGGUGCUUGGCCCAGUGGUAUGUCACAAUCCCUUAUGUAGGGAGGGCACAGGUAGCAAAAGACUGUCACAUCAUCUAGUUGCUGGACUAGAGCUAUUGGUCUCUCGGUCGUUCAGGGAGAGGGUUAGGAUCUCCUUAGACAUCCAUGUAACAGAGCCCCAACUCAUCCGUGCUCAGAAGCAAAGGCCAGUGGAGACCAAAUAAGGCUUGAAAGCAUACUUUUGAUCAUCGUCCCUGUCGUCACAAUGGGGCGCCUGACACCAAGGAGACCCUGGAAACCCACUGAACUCAGGCCCUGCAGGGGUCAGGUGAACAUGUAGGAAGUCCAGGAGAAAAGUCAUCUGCCGUCUCCAGAAUGAACAGCAUUCCAGGAAGAACUCCCCCACACUCCAGGAAGAAGUCAUGAGCCCAGUGGGGAGGCAGGUCCAGCCUGCAACAACUUAGACAUAUGCGGUGCUCCAUAGCUCAUGCUUGUGUCCUGCAGGCAGGAGCACACAUCAGGGUCCGCAGUCUUUGUUCUGGGUGUGGAAUUAGUGCUUCAGCUGGUUCCCCAGGUGUCCCCAGAGGGGGAAAGGGUGGAAAAGGUAAGAAUCUUCAGCACAGCAGAUCGCCUUGCCCUGGCAGCGACCAGCCCUGCCCCUGAGGGGCACCAGCAGCCCCCAACUAGAGGCAGUCAUGUCAGGCCUCCUCCCUACAGCAACUCUCCUGCCUUUUUUUUUCUUUUUUUCACCGCCCUAACCCCCUACUUUUGGUCAUCCUCCUUGUCACAAUGGGGCACCUGCACUGUAGAGACUCUAGAAACACGCAGAUCUGGGGUCCUGCAGCGUCCAGGCUAACAUGCCAGGAAUCAGAGAGAAAAGUCCUCUGAAGCCUCCAGAAGGAAGGGAACAGGACCCGUCACUGCAGGAAGAAGUGGGGCACCCAGUGGCAGAUGGAGGCCCCACGCACUGCAGAGGUAAAUGUGUAAGGCGCUCCCUGGCCCGCGCCUGUUUCCUGGAUGCUGGAGUCCGUGACCAGGCCUGGGGUGGCCCUUCCACACACAGAAUAAGCUGUUGGGCUGGCUGCCUCACCCAGCACCCGGGCCGCGCCAGAGAGUAUCUCAGAUGCUGCUUUCCUGCCACCUCAGCGACCCCAGUAACACUUCUCCCACAGGGACUCCGCCGUGCCCAGCUCUCCAGCCUGGGGAUUCUCAUCACCCAGUGAUUCCAAAAGAAACGAUCUACAAUGUUAUGACCAAAUGCCAGAAACAAACAAACAAAAUAUCUGAGGGCAGUCCAUUGGUCACUUCCAUUUUUCAAAGGUGACAAUUGUCCCUCCUUGAAAUCUUGAGAGUGCAUGAACAGGCUAUUCUAAUAGAUGUGCAAUUUGCACUAAAACUGAUUGAAGAGCAAAUUCUGAUUCCAAGGUACUUUGUAUUCUCAAAUUGCCUCUGCUGCCCCUGGCCCCCUCAAAAUGGAAGAGUGAGGACUACUUGACAUCUUAGCACUGUGCGGACAUAGAGCCUUACAUGGAGGUGUGUCAAAAACGGCAUUCCAUAAAGGGCUGUCACUUCCAAUUUUCAAGCAAGGACCUGUCAGAAUCCCACCCUUCCUUCUGUCUCCCAUCGAAGUCCUCCAGGAAAUGCAGCUGUUUCAGUGACAGGGGGUGAUUGCCAUCUUCCAACUGAGGAGGAAUUUGGGGUUUUGGUCCAGUCCAUGAAGUGUGACACAGUCAGAAUAAAAGGUGAGGGCCUAACAGAUUAGCAGACGGUAGGAGAAGACUAUCUUGCAGCCAGCUUCAGAGAGCCUGUGGCCAUGGCUCCCAGGUCAACAUUAGGCCCUGUUGCCUGGGAACCCCUGGGCAGGCAGUGGGAAGGUUGAGGUGUGGCUCCUGGUAGCCUCAGAACUGCCACUAUUUCCUGAAGCUCCUACUUGUUCUGUCAGCUAAGCCCCCAUCCCAGUAGGCCAGCAACACCCUCAAGACCAAGAACAGGCCAUGGUGAAUCUCAGGGCCACUAAGUACCUGGGCUGGCAGGGGCAGAGUGCCUCAGGGCUCAGUGUUGUUUGGGCUGAGCAUGGGCUUUGGG